AGAUUAGAGUUCAAAACUCUGCUCAUUGGAAUCACCAGGAGGGCUAGUUAGAAGGCAGAUUACCAUGUCCUGGUGUAGAAAAUUCUGACUCAGGAAGUCUCAGGAUAAUUCCAUGAAUAUAUAACCCAAGUGCUUCCGGUGCAGAACGUCGGAAGCCUGACUUUUGGGAAUCCUUAGCCUUCAAGUUGACUCCAUAUUUUGAAGGCUAUAUCAUGUUGCUGAGAUGUCCUAUGUUGCAGAGUAGGUGGACCUGCUGAGCAAGUAGCUGUGUCUCUUUGCAAUUACUGAUGAGUUUGCAUAGCUUGCCAAGCAGUGCCAUGUCAGCACCCGGGAUCCGAACCGGUGAACCCCAGGCCGCAGAAGCAGAACGUGCACACUUAACCACUGCACCACCAGGCUGGCCCCAAGAUAGCUUUAGUUUUAAAAGAAAGGGCCUACAAAGUGAGAACCAUCAUGGCAGAUUCACUGUCCUGGAAAUGGCUACACAGGAAGGACAAAAAAGAAGUAGAGAAAACAAAAUAUGGACCCGAAUUCAGAACAGGGGAUUAACUUCUUCAGACGAAUGGAGCAUGAAAAUUUAUUUUUCUUGUCUUACUGAGUUGGCUAAGACCUCCAGAAAAUAUUGAACAAAUAUAAUGCUAAUGGCUAUAUUUGUCUAUCUCUUAAUUUUACAGCUCUCUCAGAUACCUGUCUCCAGGAGAUGCAAGCUGCUAUGUCGGUGAGGAGUCCUGUAGAGAGAAUCAUGCAGCAAAAAUGAUGUCUCUCCAACAACUAGCAU
rnacentral:lncRNA from 1 species